UGGGGAAUUUUGGACAAUGGGCGAAAGCCUGAUCCAGCAAUGCCGCGUGUGUGAAGAAGGCCUUCGGGUUGUAAAGCACUUUUGUCCGGAAAGAAAUCCUUGGCUCUAAUACAGUCGGGGGAUGACGGUACCGGAAGAAUAAGCACCGGCUAACUACGUGCCAGCAGCCGCGGUAAUACGUAGGGUGCAAGCGUUAAUCGGAAUUACUGGGCGUAAAGCGUGCGCAGGCGGUUUGCUAAGACCGAUGUGAAAUCCCCGGGGCUAACCUGGGAACUGCAUUGGUGACUGGCAGGCUAGAGUAUGGCAGAGGGGGGUUAAAUUCCACGUGUAGCAGUGAAAUGCGUAGAGAUGUGGAGGAAUACCGAUGGCGAAGGCAGCCCCCCUGGGCCAAUACUGACGCUCAUGCACGAAAAGCGUGGGGAGCAAACAGGAUUAGAUACCCUGGUAGUCCACGCCCUAAACGAUGUCAACUAGUUGUUGGGGAUUCAUUCCUUAGUAACGUAGCUAACGCGUGAAGUUGACCGCCUGGGGAGUACGGUCGCAAG
rnacentral:rRNA from 1 species